GUAAAGGAAUGAGGCAUGCAGAUAUCUGGGGAAGAGUUUUCAGGAGUAAGAAAGACAGUGCCAAAGUCUCUAGGAGGGAAAGCAGGAGACCCAUGGGGCUGGAGAGGAAUAAACAAGAGGGGGCGUGGUAGGGGAUUGGCUGUUGGCAGGUGGGCAUGAUUGGACCGUUGACAUUUUCUCUGGGUGAGAUGGGGAGCCACAUGGGGUCUUGAGUAGGGUGACAUGAUGCCUCUUGUGUCACAUGCAAGAGCAGAAGCAGAGAGCACAGCCAGACAGGGCUUCUGGAAGAAUCCAGGGGAGAUAUUUCUCUCGAUGGUGUUGGCUUGGACCAAAUGGUAUCAGUGGAGGUGGUGAGAUAGGGUUGGACUUCGGAUAUAUUUAAAGGUAAAGCUGAAAAGAAUUGCAGAUAAGUUAGAUACGAGGUGUGAGGGAAAGAGACAUAUCCAGGAAGAUUCCAAAAUUCUUGACUUCAGCCACUGGAAGGAUACAGUUGUCAGGUGCUGAGAUGGGCAAGACUGGGAGAAAAGCAGGCUUGGAAGGGAAGAUCUGGAGUUCAGCUUUGGCUCUGCCAAAUUUGCGUUGCCUACUGGAUAUCCAGGAACACAAAGGCACAGAAGAUGAAGUAACUUGCCCACGGCCACACGGUUGACACCAUGAAGGCUGAACAAAGGAUAUCUGGGGGCAAAAUCUGACCCAUGGGCUGCCCAUUGCCACCUCUGGGCAGCCCUCCUUGAUGGUGUGGAGUCCGCGGUCCGCAUUGGUUAACUUAACUGUGCUUCCUCAGAUCCAGUCUGGAAUUAAUUAUUGAAUUGUAUGCAUUUUCAAUGCCAUCCUCAAGCUAACAGCCAACUAUGCGGGGGAAUAAAACGGAGCAGAGAACCGAGUUGGGUUCCAGAGACCCCAGAUUGUCUUCAUUUGCAGUUGCCAGGUUCCCUGCAGCCCGGGUCUGUGGAUUUCCCGCGGCUCAGCGCCCGCAGCUCAGGCUCCGUGGAGCCCGGCGGCAUGGACGAGGCGUCGCGCGCGCCCUCUAGUGGAGAAAAAGGGUCACUGCCGAACGCCAGCUGCGGACCGUCGAGAGUUCCUUGGGCCAUGGCUCCUGCCGGGAGCAGCAGCCCUGGGGCCGGGAUCCAGGAUGCAGAGGCGAGAAAAUGAACUGCCCGGCCACCACGAAGACAACCCACCCCUUGCCAGUCACCCCUCAAACUACUGACAAUGUCAACAACAAUAAUUAUAACAAUCAUAUUAAUAAGUAGAAUGACAAAUAUAAUAAUAUUUAACAGUUUGUGAUUUUCAGCCCACAAGGUUUCGCCUACUGUGUAGAUUACUCGGGACUCUGCAGGCCAGUAGGCCAUGUAUAGAUGGACAGAAAGAGGUUUGUUAUCAGAAAUGGGCUCACAUGACUGAGGAUACUGUGAAGUCCCACGACCUGCUGUUUGCAAGUAGGGGAUCAGGGAAGCCAGUGGAGUAGGUCAGUCCAAGCCCAAAGGCCGAGAACCAGAGGAGCCGACGGCCCAGCUCAAGCAGAAAGAGUGGCACUCACCCUUCCUCUGCCUUUUGUUCUCUUCAGGCCCUCAGCAGAUUGCAGGACGCCCCGACACAAGGAAGGGCGAUCUUGACUCAGUCAGUCCACGGAUGCACGCUAACCCCUUCCAGAAACACCCUCACAGACACACCUAGAAAUAAUGUGGGGUUUUUGGUGUUUUACUUUUAAUUGCAUUUAUUUUAAUGCCGGAUGUAUUUCCGCGUUGCCAGCUCCUGAGCAUCUCUGAGCCCAAUCAAGUUGACACAUACAAUUAACCAUCACGCUGUGUCAGUUCAAUCAUUAAAAAUACGCAACACUCAGCCGGGCGCGGUGACUCACGACUGUAAUCCCAGCACUUUGGGAGGCUGAGGUGGGUGGAUCACAAGGUCAGGAGUUCGAGACCAGCCUGGCCAACUGGUGAAACGCCGUCUCUAAUAAAAAUACAAAAAAUUAGCUGGUCGUGGUGGCAGGCACCUGUAAUCCCAGCUGCUCAGGAGGCUGAGGCAGGAGAAUCGCUUGAACCCGAGAGGCAGAGGUUGCAGUGAGCCGAGAUCACGCCAUUUCAGUCCAGCUGGGAGACAGAGCAAGACUCCGUCUUGAGAACAAACAAACAAACAGACAGACAGACAAAAAAACACGCAACACUCUAUUAACGCAUGAAUGUAUUCUCACCGAACAAGAUUCAAACAGUAUGAAUGAACAUAUUGCAAAUGUUUUUAAGUGUUUUUGAAAACUUUCAUUUUGAAACAAUUUCAAACUUAGUUGAAAAGUUGCAAGGAUGGCACAAAAACCUUCUAUUAAUACAUAGCUUUUAGCAGGAUUCCUCAGUUGUUAACAAUUUGCCACAUUUGCUUUAUAAUUUUUGCUCUGUCUCUACAUACUUUUAAGAUCUGAGCCAUUUGAAAUAUAAUGCCCCCUUAUAAUAGUUCCGUGGGUCUUUCCUAAAAACAAGUCAUUAUCUUCCAUAAUCCAGUACAGUUGUUCAAAUCAAGAAAAUUAACAUGGAUGCAAUAGUAUUAUCUCAUCUGCAGACCUUCUUCAAAUUUCACCAAUUGUCUCAAUAAUACCAUCCUUUUUAGCAUUUUUUUGGCUGAUUCCCACUACAAACUAUGAAAGCACAAAUGUCUCUCCUCUGCCUUGCCCAGAGGUUCCUCUUUCAAUCAUAGGGGAGGUGCCGAUAGGGUCUGUCUUUCAUUUUUCUCAAUGGAAGCACAUUCCCCACUUCUCAAUUUGCCUUGGGAGCUCUUAUUUCAAUCUCUUCUCAAUCCUUCGAAGCAGGACUCCUCCCUAGCCAUAUUCUACACAGAAGGAAACAGAAACUCAGCGUGAGGACGGCUCCUGCCCUGCGACCUCAGGUCCCCCAGCUGCCUUGCUAAGAGUUGAACCGUGCCCCCAGCCCCUACCCUGAUACAUUUCAGCAAAUUGAUAUGCAAGGCCCCUUUCCAGGCCCUGGGAACAUGAAGAGGAAGUUGCUGAUGGCUGUGCUCAAAGACUUCCCAGGUGCUGGUGAAACAGACAUGAAAAGGCACAACCCCUGCCUCGGGAUCUGGUGGCAAGAUCAACAGGUAAACUGCAGGUCUGAUACGGAUUGACAGGUGCCACUCAGAGUGAGUACGGGUGGCAGAAACUCAGAGGGGUCCGCCUGCCCAGUCUGGGAUUGGGAAAGGCAUCUGAUUAGUUUCUCAUGGCUGUUGUAACAGAUUACCACUACCUUAGUGGCUUAAAACAACAUAAAU
rnacentral:lncRNA from 1 species